GACGAACGCUGGCGGCGUGCCUAAUACAUGCAAGUAGAACGCACAGUUUAUACCGUAGCUUGCUACACCAUAAACUGUGAGUUGCGAACGGGUGAGUAACGCGUAGGUAACCUGCCUGGUAGCGGGGGAUAACUAUUGGAAACGAUAGCUAAUACCGCAUAAUAUUGAUUAUUGCAUGAUAAUUGAUUGAAAGAUGCUAUUGCAUCACUACCAGAUGGACCUGCGUUGUAUUAGCUAGUAGGUGAGGUAACGGCUCACCUAGGCGACGAUACAUAGCCGACCUGAGAAGGUGAUCGGCCACACUGGGACUGAGACACGGCCCAGACUCCUACGGGAGGCAGCAGUAGGGGAUCUUCGGCAAUGGACGAAAGUCUGACCGAGCAACGCCGCGUGAGUGAAGAAGGUUUUCGGAUCGUAAAGCUCUGUUGUAAGAGAAGAACGGGUGUGAGAGUGGAAAGUUCACACUGUGACGGUAUCUUACCAGAAAGGGACGGCUAACUACGUG
rnacentral:rRNA from 1 species